rnacentral:rRNA from 1 species
UGAGGGUGCAAGCGUUGUUCGGAAUUAUUGGGCGUAAAGAGCGUGUAGGCGGUCCGGUAAGUCAGAUGUGAAAGCCCUGGGCUCAACCCAGGAAGUGCAUUUGAAACUACCAGACUUGAGUACGGGAGAGGAGGGGGGAAUUCCCGGUGCAGAGGUGAAAUUCGUAGAUAUCGGGAGGAAUACCAGUGGCGAAGGCGCCCCUCUGGACCGAUACUGACGCUGAGACGCGAAAGCGUGGGGAGCAAACAGGAUUAGAUACCCUGGUAGUCCACGCCGUAAACGAUGAGCACUAGGUGUAGCGGGUAUUGACCCCCUGCUGUGCCGUAGCUAACGCAUUAAGUGCUCCGCCUGGGGACUACGGUCGCAAGACUA